rnacentral:rRNA from 1 species
GACGAACGCUGGCGGCGUGCUUAACACAUGCAAGUCGAACGGAGUGGCCAACGGGUGGGUAACACGCGGGUUACCUUCCCUGCACUGCGGGCUAAGCCUGGGAAACUGGGUCUAAUACCGGAUAGUGUGGGAUGGGCCCGCGGCCUAUCAGCUUGUUGGGGGGGUAAUGGCCUACCAAGGCGACGCCGGGUAGCCGGCCUGAGGGGGUGGGCAGCCACAAUAGGAAGGAGAGGCGGCACGGACUCCUACGGGAGGCAGCAGUGGGGAAUAAUUGACAAUGGGCGGAAGCAUGUUGCAGCGACGGGGCGUGGGGGAUGACGGCCUUCGGGUGGUAAACUACUUUCGCCAUCGACGCGGUAGAUGGAGAAGAAGCACCGACUAACUACGUGCCAGCAGCCGCGGUAAUAC